GGACGAUUAGCUCAGUUGGUUAGAGCGCUGCACUCACAUUGCAGAGGUCGGAGGUUCGAAUCCUCCAUCGUCCA
rfam:Candidatus Jorgensenbacteria bacterium GWA1_49_17 gwa1_scaffold_4804, whole genome shotgun sequence.